rnacentral:rRNA from 1 species
UGGGGAAUCUUCCGCAAUGGACAAAAGUCUGACGGAGCAACGCCGCGUGAGUGAAGAAGGUUUUCGGAUCGUAAAGCUCUUUCGUUAGGGACGAACGUGCUCUUUGUGAAUAAUGAGGAGUAAUGACGGUACCUAAAUAAGAAGCCACGGCUAACUACGUGCCAGCAGCCGCGGUAAUACGUAGGUGGCAAGCGUUGUCCGGAAUUAUUGGGCGUAAGGCGCGCGCAGGCGGGAUAUCAAGUCUGUCUUAAAAGUGCGAGGCUCAACCUCGUGAGGGGACGGAAACUGGUAUUCUUGAGUGUCGGAGAGGAAAGUGGAAUUCCAAGUGUAGCGGUGAAAUGCGUAGAGAUUUGGAAGAACACCAGUGGCGAAGGCGACUUUCUGGACAAUGUCUGACGCUGAGGCGCGAAAGCUAGGGGAGCGAACGG